GUCCAAACUUAGAACUAUUGUUAUUUAUAUUUACACUGGGGUCCACUCUACAUGCAGACUACAGUUGGAUGCAUAUAUUAGAAUCUCUAGUCUAUCAGGUCAAGAAAAAAAUUGAAAAAACAUCAAAAUUGAAGUUUUUUGCACUUUAGGACCAAUUAGAAAUAUUCAAUCUGUUAAAACCUCCCCUUUAACAAACUAGAAGAUUCCUGCGAAAUCGCUUUACAAUUUGCAAGUGUUUCCACAGAGAGUUGUUAAAUAUAAGUUGGUUUCUAUAUUUUUCUCUAAAAUUGACAUUUUCUGUGGAAUAAAGAUUGUUUUAAAGAAGGACAAAACACUACAUUUAUACGUCAUAUCACAAAUAUUUCCAACUUUGUAUGGUUCCAUAGGAGUUAUGGCUCAAUAAAAUCGGUUCUUUCUUUAGAAGUAUAGAUAUAUUGGUACACUGUCUCUUCUUUAUAUUUAAUUUGUUGUAUAUUUAUAUAAAUUAAUAAUUGUUGGUUUUUUUUAGUUUUAAACCUAUAUAUGCUUAAUGUUAUGGAGAUAAGCAAGAGUUGUCUCCCCUUGGUCUUGGAAAUCUUCAUACCAUAUGCUUUCAGAAAAUUUUUAAAAAUCUUGACAAUGGAUAAUCUUUGAUCGGCUGGAGAUUGUCUAAUUGGAUUGAAGUACACUAUGGCUGAAUUAGACCCACUGCUCACUGUUGGUGUGAAAUGAUGAAGAUAACUCAUCAAGGAGUAAAAUGACCAACAAUUCAGACACUACUUCUUUCUCUUCUACAGAUCUAUAAA